rnacentral:rRNA from 1 species
AGUGAACGCUGGCGGUAGGCCUAACACAUGCAAGUCGAACGGCAGCACAGUAAGAGCUUGCUCUUACGGGUGGCGAGUGGCGGACGGGUGAGGAAUACAUCGGAAUCUACUUUUUCGUGGGGGAAACGUAGGGAAACUUACGCUAAUACCGCAUACGACCUACGGGUGAAAGCAGGGGAUCUUCGGACCCUGCGCGAUUGAAUGGGCCGAUGUCGGAUUAGCUAGUUGGCGGGGUAAAGGCCCACCAAGGCGACGAUCCGUAGCUGGUCUGAGAGGAUGAUCAGCCACACUGGAACUGAGACACGGUCCAGACUCCUACGGGAGGCAGCAGUGGGGAAUAUUGGACAAUGGGCGCAAGCCUGAUCCAGCCAUACCGCGUGGGUGAAGAAGGCCUUCGGGUUGUAAAGCCCUUUUGUUGGGAAAGAAAAGCAGCAGGUUAAUACCCCGCUGUUCUGACGGUACCCAAAGAAUAAGCACCGGCUAACUUCGUGC